GCCCAGACUCCUACGGGAGGCAGCAGUGGGGAAUAUUGGGCAAUGGAGGAAACUCUUACCCAGCAAUGCCGCGUGAAUGAAGAAGGUCUUCGGAUUGUAAAGUUCUUUAAUUGGGGACGAAAAAAAUGACGGUACCCAAGGAAUAAGCCCCGGCUAACUACGUGCCAGCAGCCGCGGUAAUACGUAGGGGGCAAGCGUUGUUCGGAAUGACUGGGCGUAAAGGGUGCGUAGGCGGUGUAGCAAGUUAGAAGUGAAAUACCUAGGGCUUAACUCAGGUGCUGCUUCUAAAACUGCUAUACUUGAGUGCAGUAGAGGAAAGUGGAAUUCCUAGUGUAGCGGUGGAAUGCGUAGAUAUUAGGAGGAACGCCAGUGGCGAAGGCGGCUUGCUGGACAGAGACUGACGUUGAGGCUCGAAAGCGUGGGGAGCAAACAGGAUUAGAUACCCCGGUAC
rnacentral:rRNA from 1 species